rnacentral:rRNA from 1 species
CCUACGGGUGGCAGCAGUGAGGAAUAUUGGUCAAUGGCCGGAAGUCUGAACCAGCCAAGCCGCGUGAAGGACGAAGGUGCCAAGCAUUGUAAACUUCUUUUGUCCAGGGACAAACUCAGGCUCGUGCGCCUUCCCGAGUGUACUUGACUAACCAGCAUCGGCUAACUCCGUGCCAGCAGCCGCGGUAAUACGGAGGAUGCGAGCGUUAUCCGGAUUUAUUGGGUUUAAGGGGUGCGUAGGCGGACUGUUAAGUCAGCGGUAAAAGCCCGGGGUUCAACCCCGGCGAGCCGUUGAAACUGGCGGUCUUGAGAUGGCGAGAGGUAGGCGGAAUGCGCAGUGUAGCGGUGAAAUGCUUAGAUAUUGCGCAGAACUCCGAUUGCGAAGGCAGCAUACCGGCGGCGAUCUGACGCUGAGGCACGAAAGCGUGGGUAUCGAACAGGAUUAGAUACCCGUGUAGUC